UAGCGUGUGCGUUUGUGGCGUGGCGUGGGUCGGUCUGAAAGCUUGUUGGGUGUCUGUUGCCUUCUCCAGUGGGCCGCUCUGCCUUAGGUUUUCAGGCUCCUUCUUCCGAUCUGGAGAUCGACAGCGUUGCCUUGGAAAGGGAAGCUGAAAUUCACGUACAAACCCUAGGUCCCCAGCUGUUUUGUGAAAAUUGAUGGUCAGAGGAGACUGUCUUGUUCUGGCAAAAGAGUUCAUCCAGUUGACCAGACAGCGUGUGUGUGUGGACUGCCCCACUUAACACACAGGUGUUAUCAGGUCAGCUACGGAGAAAUUUCAUCUGAUUUAUGGUGUCUUUGCAGUCUGCGCGACCAAGGCUUGAAACUUCAAACUAACUUGCUGUUGCGUUAAUUCAGACUUGUGCUGGGUUCCUGGCUGCAUGACUGAGAGCUGAUUUUGCUCUCCAGAGAGCUGGAUUAGUCCUCUGAGAUGCACAUCACCACUUCGACAGUUCUGGGAGGAUUCUUUCUGAAAUCGGGUCGUUCCCUAAUUAUACGUCUGGACCACGCCUAGCACAAUGGAGCUGUGCUCUCAGGUUAGGCACUGCUAUAAUCUGAAUGAACAAUAAAGAAAUACUGCACUGAGCACUUCACUAGGACUCAACCUGUUAUCUCAGGCUUUCACCGAUAACCUUAAUAAAAUAAAAGUCCUUCAAA